rnacentral:rRNA from 1 species
UACGUAGGGUGCAAGCGUUGUCCGGAAUUAUUGGGCGUAAAGAGCUCGUAGGCGGUUUGUCGCGUCUGCUGUGAAAACCCGAGGCUCAACCUCGGGCCUGCAGUGGGUACGGGCAGUCUAGAGUGCGGUAGGGGAGAUUGGAAUUCCUGGUGUAGCGGUGGAAUGCGCAGAUAUCUGGAGGAACACCGGUGGCGAAGGCGGCAUCCUGGACCGGUAUUGACGCUGAGGCGCGAAAGCCAGGGGAGCAAACGGG